rnacentral:rRNA from 1 species
AUUGAACGCUGGCGGCAUGCUUUACACAUGCAAGUCGAACGGUAACAGGCCGCAAGGUGCUGACGAGUGGCGGACGGGUGAGUAAUGCAUCGGAACGUGCCCAGUCGUGGGGGAUAACUACUCGAAAGAGUAGCUAAUACCGCAUACGAUCUAUGGAUGAAAGCGGGGGACCGUAAGGCCUCGCGCGAUUUGAGCGGCCGAUGUCAGAUUAGGUAGUUGGUGGGGUAAAGGCUCACCAAGCCAACGAUCUGUAGCUGGUCUGAGAGGACGACCAGCCACACUGGGACUGAGACACGGCCCAGACUCCUACGGGAGGCAGCAGUGGGGAAUUUUGGACAAUGGGCGCAAGCCUGAUCCAGCAAUGCCGCGUGCAGGAAGAAGGCCUUCGGGUUGUAAACUGCUUUUGUACGGAACGAAACGGCUCUGGUUAAUACCCGGGGCUAAUGACGGUACCGGAAGAAUAAGCACCGGCUAACUACGUG